AUACGAAGCGGUGCUACGAUUUACAUUGGUCAGUGGAAAAGUGUGGUGAACACCAACUCAAAACAGAGCCAGAUGCUUUACUUUACGAUGUGACUAUUACUGAUUAAUAUACCUGCAAAAUACUGAAUGUGUUUCUGACUAAAGUACCUAAAGAUCACAGAAUUCAUUUACAUAGCUAAAGUGGAUCACAGAAAACUGCAGAGAACAAGAUGGAACAUUAUAUCAGUGCUGCAGGUUUGGUCACCUUAAAAUCAGCUACUAAUGUUACGGAGGUCUCCUGAAAAGUGCCAUUAGAAAAGCUGCUUAUAGAAACAAACGCCAGACACUCGUCACUCCCUGCAUGCAACCAAAGAACGCUAACCUCUUCCACAGAAACUCGCCCUGGUCAACAAGCCCGUCUAUGGAAAUACAUGGGUUGCAACUUGCAGCUAAACUAGCCGAA